rnacentral:misc_RNA from 1 species
AGUGUUUCGCCCGGAUCGUUGCCGGGCUUCCUGCGCCAGCACUACACCACGAGCACCGACAUGGCCGCGGCCAUGAGUGCUUAUGUGCUCUCCAACGGCGCAGCAAAUGCAGCGCCCGGCGGGGGCAAUCUGACCAGACAGGGUCAGGAGGCGAAAACCGGCCCGAAACCGGCCCAGGAGCCGGGUCCCGAGCAGGCCGCCAAGGGCCGC